ensembl:snRNA U5 U5 spliceosomal RNA
AGCUUGAGUUUCUCUUCAUUAUCACAUAAAUCUUUUGCCUUUUACUAAAGAUUUCUGUGGAGGAGAACUUUUUGUGAGUGACCUGUAUUUUUGGAGGCUCUGAUCACAGCAGAGCU